rnacentral:misc_RNA from 1 species
ACCAAUCCAUGAUAAAUUAUCUGAGAUGAGAAAAAAAUAUAUCAAAUACAGAUAACCAAUCUCUCUGCGUCAAUUACCAAAAAAUACAAAUUGUCAGUCCAUACGAAAUCACCAGACAGAUAAACCACAUAAAUAAAGGUGAAGUAUUUUGUAUCCCCUGAAUUCAAAGAACAACAGCUUUUCUCGGGCCAAUAUCUGAGGCUUAGAGGGAUUUAAGUGGAGUUCAAAUGCUCAAAAUUGUCUUAUUAAACAAUACGAGCCUGAGUAGUUUCAACCCUCUCAGCAAUAUGGAUCUUUAUAUUCCUUCAGGAAAUGAAAAAAUAAGUAUGUUUAAUGUUUUCAAUUCCUUUCCUUUUUCCUAACUCGUCUCACCAACCAAAAAUUACCAUAUAGAAAGUAUUAAAGCAUCAACAGAUAUAGAAGAACACGGAAUGCAAAUUCAUGACACAAAAACCAAAGAUUCAAAUUUUUUAGUUAUAAAUCAAAAUAAGAAGCAAGAAUGAGAUAUCCCAGUACAAAUCUUCAGCAUGGUAAAUGACCAAAAGUGAACAAAACACCAAACCUGGCUGAGUUGGUAAAUUGAUUCAGAAAAUGAAGACCCAGAAGCUGAAACAAAGAAGUGAAGCAACCCAGAUGGAAAAGAAAAACUGGCAACACGUUAGAAGGGUUCCUGUUUUUUUACAGAGGUUAGCAAGGAAGUGCAGCCUUAGCUGCUUAACAGAGGUAGCUCAGGUUUUUUGAGUCAAAGGG